AAGACCUUGCACUUUUGGAGCGGCCGAUGUCUGAUUAGCUAGUUGGUGGGGUAAAGGCCUACCAAAGCUUCGAUCAGUAGCUGGUCUGAGAGGACGGCCAGCCACACUGGGACUGAGACACGGCCCAGACUCCUACGGGAGGCAGCAGUGGGGAAUUUUGGACAAUGGGCGCAAGUCUGAUCCAGCCAUGCCGCGUGAGUGAAGAAGGCCUUCGGGUUGUAAAGCUCUUUCAGCCGGGAAGAAAAGGCUGCGACUAAUAAUCGCAGUUCAUGACGGUACCGGAAGAAGAAGCACCGGCUAACUACGUGCCAGCAGCCGCGGUAAUACGUAGGGUGCGAGCGUUAAUCGGAAUUACUGGGCGUAAAGGGUGCGCAGGCGGUUUUGUAAGUCAGAUGUGAAAUCCCCGGGCUUAACCUGGGAACU
rnacentral:rRNA from 1 species